rnacentral:rRNA from 1 species
AUGAACGCGGAGUUAACAAAACCCUACACUGCCGACGAGGUUAGAUUGGCGCUGUUCCAAAUGGCUCCGUCGAAAGCUCCCGGGGUGGAUGGCUUCACGGCUGGGUUCUACCAGAGACAUUGGGAUCUGCUGGGGGCAGCAGUGACCCAGGCAGUUUUGGACUUCUUAAACGGAGGUGAAAUACCAUCUGGCCUGAAUGACACAUCCAUCACCCUUAUACCAAAGGUCAGACACCCCCAAUUGAUCUCCCAAUACCGUCUCAUUGCCCUCUGCCCGGUCUUGUAUAAGAUAGCAGCCAAGGCUAUCACUAAUUGCAUGAGAGGCAUCAUGGAUAGCAUUAUUAGCGAGGAACAAAGCGCGUUUGUGCCUGGCCGGCUCAUCACAGACAACGUUCUAGUUGCAUAUGAAAGUGUGCACACAAUGAGGAGAAGAAAGAAAGGCAAACAUUAUUCUUGUGCGGUCAAGCUCGACAUGAUGAAGGCUUAUGACCGUGUCGAGUGGCAUUUUCUUGAAGUAAUAUUGCUAAGGUUGGGCUUCAAUAUGCCCUUUAUCAGGCUCAUUAUGAAAUGUGUCUCCUCUGUCCGGUUCUCCGUGCGGGUUAACGGUGAGCUCCUUCCUUAUUUCACACCAUCCCGAGGGUUCCGGCAGGGAGAUCCAGUUUCGCCAUACCUUUUUCUUCUUUGUGCAGAAGGUUUCUCCUCAUUGCUUAAAUUCUACAAUGGGGGAGUUGUCGACAGAGGCUUGAGGGUGAGCUGCAGAUCACCUUGGGUGACCCAUCUACUUUUUGCUGAUGAUAGUAUGAUCUUCAUUAAUGCAAGCAACCCAAGUGCACUUCGUCUCAAUGACAUUUUGUCAAUUUAUGGUGAGGCCUCAGGUCAGUGUGUAAAUCUUGAAAAAUGGAAAACCGGUCGUGACACUAACACACCUGACUCAUUGCGGCAACUUCUGAAAUCAACCUUGAAUAUUCAAGUUGAAGCUUUCAAUGCAAAGUAUCUCGGUCUCCCGACUGUUGUGGGGCGCAUUACGAGUGGCACAUUUGAACACAUCAGUGAGAGAGCUCGUGGAAAAAUUCAGGGAUGGUCAGAGAAAUUUCUAGCUUGUGCCGGCCGUGAGGUCCUACUGAAAUCGGUGGUUCAGGCUAUUCCGACCUAUCCAAUGAGCACUUUCUUAUUGACAAAGAAAGUCUGCAAGAGUAUAACUUCUCCUAUGGCGAAAUAUUUUGGGAGCAGUUCUCUGGAUAAAAACUCUAUGCAUUGGGUGUCCUGGAAAGAGUUGGCAACACCUAAAUGCAAGGGAAGGAUGGGGUUUCGCGACCCGCAUCAGUUUAACCUUGCUAUGUUGGGCAAACAGGGUUGGCGAUUAAUGACAAAUCCUACAUCACUGUGUGCUAGAGUUCUCAAGGGUCGCUACUUCCCAGACAGUGAUUUUAUGCAUGCUUCUGCUCCAAAGUCGGCCUCAGCCACUUGGAAGGCUAUCUUGGCGGGAAGAGAGGCCCUAGAGGCCGGGCUGAUCGCUCGUGUGGGAGAUGGCAGCACGUUAUCAAUUUGGAAUGAUAAAUGGAUUGCUGGAACCAUAUCAAUGAAACCAAUCUUCAAAUCGCCAAACACUACUGUUGAAACAGUGGACGAGCUCAUUGACACAACAAACUGGUCUUGGCGGCAAGAUGUGGUUAGUGAAAUUUUCAUCGCCCCGGAUGUCAAAGCCAUUCUAAACAUUCCGAUCAGGCAAGGGGGGAGGGCGAGGAUUCUUUUGCUUGGGCAUUCGAGAAAUCAGGCAACUACACUGUGA